rnacentral:rRNA from 1 species
AGAGUUUGAUCCUGGCUCAGGACGAACGCUGGCGGCGUGCUUAACACAUGCAAGUCGAACGAGGUCCAACCCGUCGCAAGACGGGGGAAGACCUAGUGGCGAACGGGUGAGUAACACGUGAGGAACGUGCCCCGGAGACCGGGAUAACAGCGGGAAACCGCUGCUAAUACCGGAUACCUUCUUUUGAUCGCAUGGUCAGCUGAAGAAAUGGAUUCCGCUCCGGGAGCGCCUCGCGGUCUAUCAGCUUGUUGGUGGGGUAACGGCCUACCAAGGCGACGACGGAUAGCUGGUCUGAGAGGACGAUCAGCCACACUGGGACUGAGACACGGCCCAGACUCCUACGGGAGGCAGCAGUGGGGAAUCUUGCCCAAUGGGCGAAAGCCUGAGGCAGCAACGCCGCGUGUGGGAUGAAGGCCCUUGGGUUGUAAACCACUUUCAGCAGGGACGAAAAUGACGGUACCUGCAGAAGAAGCCCCGGCCAACUACGUGCCAGCAGCCGCGGUAAGACGUAGGGGGCGAGCGUUGUCCGGAUUUAUUGGGCGUAAAGGGUUCCUAGGCGGCUGGCCUAGUCGGGUGUGAAACCUCCAGGCUCAACCUGGAGACGCCACUCGAUACUGGUCUGGCUAGAGUCCGGUAGGGGCGAACGGAAUAUCCGGUGUAGCGGUGAAAUGCUUAGAUAUCGGGUGGAACACCAGUGGCGAAGGCGGUUCGCUGGGCCGGAACUGACGCUGAAGAACGAAAGCGUGGGUAGCAAACAGGAUUAGAUACCCCAGUAGUCC